rnacentral:rRNA from 1 species
CAGUAGCCGCGGUAAUACGUAGGGUGCAAGCGUUAAUCGGAAUUACUGGGCGUAAAGCGUGCGCAGGCGGUUAUGUAAGACAGUUGUGAAAUCCCCGGGCUCAACCUGGGAACUGCAUCUGUGACUGCAUAGCUAGAGUACGGUAGAAGGGGAUGGAAUUCCGCGUGUAGCAGUGAAAUGCGUAGAUAUGCGGAGGAACACCGAUGGCGAAGGCAAUCCCCUGGACCUGUACUGACGCUCAUGCACGAAAGCGUGGGGAGCAAACAGGAUUAGAUACCCCUGUAGUCCCUGUCUCUUAUAC